GGGGUUUCCUGUCUCGAUGGACAAGGUC
rnacentral:piRNA from 1 species